UUUAGUAGGUAUACGUUGGAGAAGGAGAGUCACCUGUCGAUGUUGCGCAUCGACGCUGGAUGUGUAUGGUCGGAGAAAUGGGACAUGUAUGAUGCGGGCGCGGAAGCGGGUGGCGGGCGGUGCCCUAGUGGGCGCGGGCGGCCAGCACGGCGGGAACGCGUCGUUUUGCGGCACAGUGAGAGUGGUGUGGAAGCAGUGCCAUGGUGCGGCGAGGGCGAGUGCGGUCGAUGAGCCCGACGCAGAGGGCAGCACGGAGCCGCCGCGGGGGGCUCCGCCGGCUCCCCCGCGCCCGUUCCAUCACCCCGUCUGCCUGCGCACUCGGCUCGGCCGCGCCGCGCGCUCACUAAUGCGUCAUACCGCCAUCGAGACUGACGCGGCCAUGCCGCCGCAACGACGCGACAGUUCGCGCCAUGUGAACUUCAGUGUUGACUUAUAUGUAGAGCCUCGGAAUUCAUCGAGUACCUACUUGAAAUAGGUCGUAUCUUAAACGCUAGCAAUUAUGGACAGUGACUUUGGUGCUUGUGAGCAGAGACAGAGUGGUGCAUCGAACCAACGCACGUGCUCAGGAGUCGACGGCAUUUCUGAAACUCGCUGCACAUAGAUGCCCUAGUCACGCAAUACGGAUUGAGUAUUCUUCGAGAACGUACUGUCUACGGGUAUGGAACUGCUGAUAGCAAAAAUUGACUAUUACGACAUAUUCUUAAACCAAUUCGAGCUCAUCGAUAUAAUCCGCAUUCUGUCGGCGCGAGUCCACGAGGACAGCGGCGAGCCGGUCCUGGUCUAGCACCACCGACACCAUCAUGGCCACAACACUCUACAG